GAUGAAGAACGUAGCGAAAUGCGAUACGUAAUGUGAAUUGCAAAUUCAGUGAAUCAUCGAGUCUUUGAACGCACAUUGCGCCCCCUGGUAUUCCGGGGGGCAUGCCUGUCCGAGCGUCAUUGCUGCUCUCAAGCACGGCUUGUGUGUUGGGCCCCGUCCUCCGAUCCCGGGGGACGGGCCCGAAAGGCAGCGGCGGCACCGCGUCCGGUCCUCGAGCGUAUGGGGCUUUGUCACCCGCUCUGUAGGCCCGGCCGGCGCUUGCCGAUCAACCCAAAUUUUUAUCCAGGUUGACCUCGGAUCAGGUAGGGAUACCCGCUGAACUUAAGCAUAUCAAUAAGCGGAGGA
rnacentral:misc_RNA from 1 species